rnacentral:lncRNA from 1 species
UUUCUACACUGUUCCUGUCCUGCUCAACACAUUUUGAGUAUUCUCUCCUGGUUAUCUGAUUUUGCUCUCUACUAUUAAGCUGUGUCAGUCUUUCCGAUGAAUGUCAUUGCAGUUUAAGGGAACUGUAUGUUCAGGUAGCCUACAAUAGCCUCAUAACUGGCUGCCAGGUAUUUACUCUACACUGAUGGCAAAUUGUCCUGAGUCAUGGAGGCCAGCGGGGAGCUGACGUUAUCAGCACAGAUGGAAUCCUGAUUUAAUUUGUCUUCCAAACUAGGUUGAAAUGUGCUGGAGCUGAAACGAUAAAAUACCUCAUUAAUAAAAUGGACUGCAUGGAAUGAAAAGAUCACAGGAAAGUUUCAUCUUCUGUCCAGGCAGGAAAGGUUGCAGUGGCUAUCUAGUGUUUCCCUGUGUUAUGGCCUUGUUUGCUGGAGAUCAAGGAAAAGCAGAAAUCAACUCAGACAAUGUCUACAGGCUCGGAAUAUCUGCAGUAAACAGACGUGAAAACUGAGUCACUUUUCAAAAGCGGCAAACGGUUAUCUGCCCCUGAGUCUCACAGAGAUUACUACACUGUGCCCAGCGCAGCAUCACGGCUCUUGAUAUCAACACGGCCUUCGAUGUGACUGAAGACCUCUCUCCUAGUGGUCUAGAGAAAGCAGUCCAAUAGGUUUCACCAAAAGGCUUAAUACAUCACUUACUUCAAAAUGGAGAAAAAUCACAGAUUUUAACUAGAAGGUACCGCUGCUUCCUGUCUUGUGAGCUGUAUUAUGUCUUACUUCAGUUCCUUCUUUUCCCCUCUUCUGUGUUGUGUAUUGCCAAUUAACCACUUUAAUAAACUGUUCUUUUGCCACUGCCCUUUACAAAUCCUGA